rnacentral:lncRNA from 1 species
GCAAACGCGUCUGGAGCCUUCCUCUGAUGUGACUUCAUUCGUUGUUGUGGGUAAAGAACUUGUUACUUGGAGGAAAUGGAAUACACUCCUCCAUCAAUGUUCUUCUGUCCUCUCCUCCUAAAUGUGUAUAAAUUUUCAUCUUCACAUCUUAAUGCUUGCCCUCGUCUUUCCAUUUGUCACUAUAUAAUGGGGUAAUUGAUUAUCUUCCUGCAGGGGAAAUUACUCGACCCCCGAUGAAGGUAGAGAAUGUGACCUAGUACAUCAAUUGCGAUACCUUUGAAAUAACUUCGUUCCUUCCAAAACAGUCAACAUAACUUCCUUUGGAAUUAACUGUGGCUAGUUGUUAGUUAACUAGUGAUUUCUCUUAGAUUCUCUCUUUCCUUCCCUGUCUUUUUCCCUGAGGCCAUUCGAGAGGAAUGUGCUAGCCUAUUACCUACGUUUACGCACAAUUUCCUCAACAGAACACAACGCAAUAGCAUCCUGUUGUUGAGAACUCAGGAAAUUAAGAUGAAUUUGGAUGGAGCAGAGGGUAGAAAAAGCUUCAAGGCAUUUCUUAGAACUCUCUUUAAGUUUUGAAAGCAACAUUUUGUCCUCCUUGCUUCAAUGCUGUUAUGUGCAAGUCUUGUUUUCGUCCUCCUUGCUUCUAUGCUGUUAUGUGCAAGUCUUGUUUUCGUCCUCCUUGCUUCUAUGCUGUUAUGUGCAAGUCUUGUUUUAUCUUUUUACGAGUAUAUUGCUGAAUGGAAUUGUUGGGUUUUGAUAGUAGUGCUCACCAAUCAAAAACCAACUUUAGGGUUUUGAUUUUGGCAGGAGAGAUAGGUGGUCGAUGGGAAAGGGUUGCUAUCUGUCAUUCUUUGAUAAUUCCAUUGAAGUAGUGCCGUAUCGCUAUAAGAAGUUUUUAUACGAAUACAUAUGACGGUUAUCCUUUUCAAGAAUUCCUUUCAAUCCAUUUAUUAUCUAUAAAACCCGCACUCGUUUGAACAUCUAUUUGUAUGAAGUUUCAAUUAAAAAAUAAUAAUCUGGAAACCCAUUUGCCAUUGUUAGAAUGAGAUGUGCUGCCAGCCCUAAUCAGAAAGUUUUUUCUUAAUUAAUUUUAUUUAGGGAUGGCAAUGAAUAUCCACAAAUAAAUUUCUUGAAAUUCAUAUCCUAUUAUUUACCAGGUAAAAAAUUUAAAUAUUUAUAAAUUAUUC